rnacentral:lncRNA from 1 species
AUCUGUCAAUGCAGGAAGAGGACAAAAUAAGCUAGCGGGAUCAACAUUCCCCUGUAUACCGAUAUCAGUUCCCAGUCGCUUCCUUCCAUCUUCCAUAUCCACUGUCCAGUCAAGUCCAAUUACAUCAACUCCAGUUUCUUUCAUCCGCUCAAGAAGUCCACCAUUUCCAUUAAUGUAGAGAGUAAAAUGUCUUAAAGUCCAAUUACAUCAACUCCAGUUUCUUUCAUCCGCUCAAGAAGUCCACCAUUUCCAUUAAUGUAGAGAACAAGUGGUGUUUGUGGGCACUUCCGUUUAAUUGUAGCUACUAUCU